CGUCAGAAACAGGGGUGCUCUCGCGUUGACACGUCGGAUACGCAACGUAUCACUAAUGCGGUGUUUUGUCGAUACGGGCUUCGCGGUUGGAGCAUCGGUUAGGCCCAUCGUCACAGACCUCUACGGAAAACCCUAAACACAAUCUUCUACGAUCUUCUCCUUCGUGUUCUUCGUGCGUUGUCGAUCGGCACAGCGGCUGUCUGUAUCCUGUAACGGUUUUUGUUUUUAAUCAUCUUAAAUAUGCUGCGAUCUCACCGUGCGCUCUCUACGCUUUCGUAAUCUCACAACUUACUCAUCAUCUCUCUCAAUGGCUAUGACCAAUAGUGUGUGUUCUCUCUAACCCUAAUUCGGCUGCAGAGGAGAAACGAAGAACGUAUCUCCACUUCCUGCGACGGCGACCUGAUCACUUCUGACCAUCUGAAACUGUCUUUGUAUCUCUUAUACCUCUCGCCGAUGUGGUCUUGCUCGGAUCUCUCUUCGCAGACGCCUCGGUGGUUCUGUGGCCAGGACUGUAAAUCUUCAACGGGUCAUAAGAUUGUGAACUGGACCUGAUCAACAAAAGCUAAUCACAUGAGAUCUUUUGGUCAGGGUCAACAACUAUGGCAAGUGGAAUGUCUUUGCUUAUAAUUCCAUCAUAUAUUUUUAAAUUAAAACCUCAGAUUGGAGACAAACUACAAUUAUAAAUAGAACUUUUGGUUUGUCUUAUCCUUGUAGGCUUGGUUUGUAAACUUUUAUAAGAAUGUUGUUCAAGCAGAUGCGUAAUAAAAGUAUUCAGACGUUUGGAGUUGUGUAGGAAGCAUGUAGCUCAUAAUUCUUUUGUCUUCUAUAAAACAUUGCAAUAUAUGUCUCUUAAUUUGCUCUAGAUUAAUUAUUAUUUGGGUCUGAUUAAUAUUUAUUUCUUAGAUCUGGUGCAGUGUCCAUGAAACAGAGUUAGCAAAAGGAUGUUAGUUGCGACAUGAUAAAUUGAUAUUGUGAAGACGCUAUAAGGCAGAAUCUUAUUAAGCACUUGAAAAGGAGUCUCUUUGGCAGUCAGCCCACAGCAUGGUAUAUAUUCCUCCUUUUGCUUCAGAUGAGACUCAUAGCUUAUUGAAGUUAACAUGGUGUUGCUGGACGAUAAGUUUCAAGAGUAUAGUGACGGAAGGAUGAGUGUACGAGCUCAGUGUUGAUAAAUCCCAUGGCUUGCAUUUCUUCUUUAUAUAACUUUAUGUAAUCUUGAAGAGUUAUAUAUAAUAUGGUCAAGCCAUAUCGGAUGAGUGUACAAUGAGCAUAUAUUAUAUAAUAUGGUCAUGCCAAGAAGAACUUGAGUUUUGUUGGUUAAAAUAUUUAGGGUUAAAUUUAUUCAACUUGUGAAGCAUU